CAUGUACGGCCCCGGAGACACAGGGAUUCGAACCCUCGAUACAUGAGAAAGCCGGGUUCGACGGGUGACGCGCAGCGGCACCCGAACGUCGCCGCAGGCGACGACCCGAAGGGCGAGGCACGCAGUGCCGCGUAAUCCCUCCCUCUCCGCCA
rfam:Thioalkalivibrio sp. K90mix, complete genome.